rnacentral:rRNA from 1 species
UACAGAGGUCUCAAGCGUUGUUCGGAUUCAUUGGGCGUAAAGGGUGCGUAGGCGGCGCGGUAAGUCGGGUGUGAAAUCUCGGAGCUUAACUCCGAAACUGCAUUCGAUACUGCCGUGCUUGAGGACUGGAGAGGAGACUGGAAUUUACAGUGUAGCGGUGAAAUGCGUAGAUAUCGUAAGGAAGACCAGUGGCGAAGGCGGGUCUCUGGACAGUUCCUGACGCUGAGGCACGAAGGUCAGGGGAGCAAACAGG